rnacentral:rRNA from 1 species
CCUACGGGCGGCAGCAGUGGGGAAUAUUGGGCAAUGGGCGCGAGCCUGAACCAGCAACGCCGCGUGAAGGAAGAAGGCUUUCGGGUUGUAAACUUCUUUUGUCAGGGACACAACAAGUGACGGUACCUGACGAAUAAGCCACGGCUAACUACGUGCAAGCAGCCGCGGUAAUACGUAGGUGGCAAGCGUUAUCCGGAUUUACUGGGUGUAAAGGGCGUGUAGGCGGGACUGCAAGUCAGAUGUGAAAACCACGGGCUCAACCUGUGGCCUGCAUUUGAACCUGGAGUUCUUGAGUACUGGAGAGGCAGACGGAAUGCCUAGUGUAGCGGUGAAAUGCGUAGAUAUUAGGAGGAACACCAGUGGCGAAGGCGGUCUGCUGGACAGCAACUGACGCUGAGGCGCGAAAGCGUGGGGAGCAAACAGGAUUAGAUACCCUAGUAGUC